UGAGCAACCUGCCCUUAGCUCUGGGAUAACCCCGGGAAACCGGGGCUAAUACCGGAUAUGAGUCCGAGCGGCAUCACGCGGACUGGAAAGUUUUUCGGCUAAGGAUGGGCUCGCGGCCUAUCAGCUUGUUGGUGGGGUCAUGGCUCACCAAGGUGACGACGGGUAGCUGGUCUGAGAGGACGACCAGCCACACUGGAACUGAGAUACGGUCCAGACCUCCGUACGGGAGCA
rnacentral:rRNA from 1 species